GUUAUUAUAGUUUAAUAAAAAUUUAGGUUUGUGGUGCCUGAGAUGUAGAAUCUACUAAUAACC
rnacentral:tRNA from 1 species